rnacentral:rRNA from 1 species
AGCGAACGCUGGCGGCAGGCUUAACACAUGCAAGUCGAACGCUCACCUUCGGGUGGGAGUGGCAGACGGGUGAGUAACACGUGGGAACGUACCCUUUGGUUCGGGACAACUCUGGGAAACUGGAGCUAAUACCGGAUACGCCCUUUUGGGGAAAGGUUUACUGCCGAAGGAUCGGCCCGCGUCCGAUUAGCUAGUUGGUGGGGUAACGGCCUACCAAGGCGACGAUCAGUAGCUGGUCUGAGAGGAUGAUCAGCCACACUGGGACUGAGACACGGCCCAGACUCCUACGGGAGGCAGCAGUGGGGAAUAUUGGACAAUGGGCGCAAGCCUGAUCCAGCCAUGCCGCGUGAGUGAUGAAGGCCUUAGGGUUGUAAAGCUCUUUUAUCCGGGACGAUAAUGACGGUACCGGAGGAAUAAGCCCCGGCUAACUUCGUGCCAGCCGCCGCCGUAACAC